rnacentral:rRNA from 1 species
CCUACGGUAGGCAGCAGUGAGGAAUAUUGGUCAAUGGCCGGAAGGCUGAACCAGCCAUGCCGCGUGAAGGUCAGUGCCCUAUGGGCGUUAAACUUCUUUUGUGCGGGAGCAAUAAUGGUCACGUGUGGCCAGACGAGAGUACCGUACGAAUAAGCAUCGGCUAACUCCGUUCCAGCAGCCGCGGUAAUACGGGGGAUGCAAGCGUUAUCCGGAUUUAUUGGGUGUAAAGGGUGCGUAGGCUGUGAGGUAAGUCAGCGGUGAAAAGCCCCCGCUCAACGGGGUGAAGUGCCAUUGAUAAUGCCUUGCUGGAAUGCGGAUGCCGUUGGAGGAAUGUGUGGUGUAGCGGUUAAAUGCAUAGAUAUCACACAGAACACCGAUUGCGAAGGCAUCUCACGAAUCCGCGAUUGACGCUGAUGCACGAAAGCGUGGGUAUCAAACAGGAUUAGAUACCCUAGUAGUC